rnacentral:rRNA from 1 species
GAAAAAGAAGAGCUAAACUUAGUUUAAAUAUUAGUUUAUAUAUAGCUAAUGUGAAAUAUAUUAGCUUAAUAGCUUAGUUUAGGAGUGAAAAGCUUUCAAUUCUUUUGAUAGCUGGAUUAAAGUUAAAUGUAUUUAGUACAGGUUUAAUAACUGAUAUUAAAAGUGUUAAGAUUUUUAAUAUUUAAUUUAAAAUUUUAUUUAAUGGUUUAAUUUGGAUUAGUCUCCUAAUAAAAAUUACUCUAAAUAAUUAAUUUAUAAUAGUUAAAUAAUGUAACUUUAGGAACCUUUAAUUGUGUAAUGUUGUUUAUAAUGUUAAAAUUAGUAUUAAUUAAUAAAUUUUUUUAAAGGAACUCGGCAAAUAAGCUUUUCAACUGUUUACCAAAAACGUAGCUUAAUGAAUAAAUAUUAAGUAUCUCCUGCCCAGUGAUUUAUUUUUAACGGCCGCAGUACCCUGACUGUGCAAAGGUAGCAUAAUAAAUUGGCUUUUAAUUGAAGUCUUGUAUCAAUGGAGUCAUGAAUAGGCACUGUCUCUACAAAAGUAUAUAGAAAUUACCAUUAAGGUGAAAAUGCCUUUAAUUUACUACAUAGACAAGAAGACCCUAAGAGUUUAAAAUAUUCAAGUUUAUUACUUGUUCUUUUUUGUUGGGGCGACAAGGUAACAAAUAUAAUUAAGUUUUAAUUAAAAACUUACCUUUUUAUUUAAUACAAGACGAAAUAUACUAAGUAAGAAUAAACUACCUUAGGGAUAACAGCAUAAUAGUAAUUUUAUUGUUUGUGACCUCGAUGUUGGAUUAGGUAAUGAAUCAACUAGACGUUGUUUCAUUUUGUUCUGUUCGAACUUAAUUCACCUACAUGAUCUGAGUUCAGACCGGCGCAAGCCAGGUCAG